GCCAGGCCUGGUGGUGCAUACCUGUAGUCCCAGCUACUUGGGAGGCUGAGGUGGGAGGAUCUCUUGAGCCCAGGAGUUUGAGGAUGCAGUGAGCUAUGAUUGUGCCACUGUACUCCAGCCUGGGUGACAGAGUGAGACCCCAUCUCUA
rnacentral:SRP_RNA from 1 species